rnacentral:rRNA from 1 species
GACGAAGGGGCUAGCGUUGUUCGGAAUUACUGGGCGUAAAGCGCGUGUAGGCGGUUGUCCAAGUUGGAUGUGAAAGCCUUGAGCUCAACUCAAGAAAUGCAUUCAGGACUGGAUGACUAGAGGACCGGAGAGGAUAGUGGAAUUCCAGUGUAGUGGUGAAAUACGUAGAGAUUGGGAAGAACACCAGUGGCGAAGGCGGCUCACUGGCCCGGAACUGACGCUGAGGUGCGAAAGCGUGGGGAGCAAACAGG